rnacentral:rRNA from 1 species
UACAGGGGGGGCAAGCGUUGUUCGGAAUUACUGGGCGUAAAGGGCUCGUAGGCGGCCAACUAAGUCACACGUGAAAUCCCCAGGCUUAACCUGGGAACUGCGUGUGAUACUGGAUGGCUUGAAUUCGGGAGAGGGAUGCAGAAUUCCAGGUGUAGCGGUGAAAUGCGUAGAUAUCUGGAGGAAUACCGGUGGCGAAGGCGGCAUCCUGGACCGACAUUGACGCUCAGACACGACAGCAUGGGGAGCGAACGGG